GCCUGGCAUGGUGGCCCAUGCCUGUAAUCCAAGCUACUUGGGAGGCUAAGUUAAGAGAAUGGCAAGUUCAAGGCAAGCCUGGGCAACUUAGCCCCUGUCUUAA
rnacentral:sRNA from 1 species